UCUCCGUUGGUGAACCAGCGGAGGGAUCAUUACAGAGUUGCAAAACUCCCAAACCAUUGUGAACGUUACCUAUCCCGUUGCUUCGGCGGGCGGCCCGGGCCCCGCGCCCGGCGCCCCCCGGCCCCCCGUGGGCGCCCGCCGGAGAUAAACCAAACCCUUGAAUUGCAUGGCCUCUCUGAGUCUUCUGUACUGAAUAAGUCAAAACUUUCAACAACGGAUCUCUUGGUUCUG
rnacentral:misc_RNA from 1 species